rnacentral:lncRNA from 1 species
GUCCAAAAUUGUCACAAAAAUCCAUUCUGCAGAUUGCACUUCUAGAGAUUUCUGAAACCUCACCCCAAAAUAGAUUACCCUCCAAUUUCAAUCCAUCUACUUGUUUUCUAUUUAGCCAUAGAUACCAUUUUGAAGAAUCCAAAAUCGUGAAAGAGUUUGGUGGGUUGUGAUUUUGUCUGUUUAUUUAAUCUGAAGCAAGAAUAUUUGGGCCAAUCUUGAAAGUAUUGUCUUCAAGUUGAGAAUCAAAAUUUGAAGAAUCCAAAAUCAAGAAAGAGUUUGGUGGGUUGUGAUUUUGUCUGAUCGUUUAAUCUGAAGCAAGAAUUUUUGGGUCAAUCUUGAUAGUAUUGUCUUCAAAUUGAGAACCUUUGAUUCUCGAGGUUGAUUAUUCAAUCCAGUUCAAGAGAAUCAAGAAAUUGUGUGCUAUUUUAUUGGAAAGAUUUUGGAUUUUUGAGAAUAGUUAAGAAUUUGAUGGUUUGGGAAAUGGGGAUGAGGGUUUGUUCUUGAUAUGGGUUCGUCUUAAAUCUAACUAUUUCAAUUUCUUUUAAUUGUUUCUUGAAUCAGAGUGAAACAUUUGAAAUUUUCCAGGAUUGGGACAUAGAGACAAUGGCGAUGCCAUGGAAUAUGACAAUUUGGAUGGCAAGUAUGAUAUGGAUGGCACUGAGUGGUUGGAUAGUUUCUUGUUUAACUGUUGCUGAUGAAAUUGCUAAUUCCCUGCGAACUGGGGAAAUUAGCCCUUUCCAUGUUGGUUGAUCCAAGAAAAUGGCUGUGAAUUUAGCUCAUUCUCUGGUUUGAUCUUUUUUUUUUUAUUUUUUGUUUAAUAUAUAUUUGGGAAUGUAAUUUAAUGUUGAUAGGCUUCGUCGAAUUUUAUCAAUGUGUAUAGUAAUUUGAGUGUUUUUACUGAUGUGAGUUUUGAGUAUUGGAAUGAAAAAUGGCAGGAUACACGAUCUAUAUUUAUGGGGAGU